rnacentral:rRNA from 1 species
UUAGGAAUUUUGGGCAAUGGGCGCAAGCCUGACCCAGCAACGCCGCGUGGGUGACGAAGGCCUUCGGGUUGUAAAGCCCUUUUCUGAGGGAAGAUAGUGACGGUACCUCAGGAAUAAGCACCGGCUAACUACGUGCCAGCAGCCGCGGUAAUACGUAGGGUGCAAGCGUUGCCCGGAUUUAUUGGGCGUAAAGGGCGCGCAGGCGGCUCGGCACGUCCGUUGUGAAAUCGCCCGGCUCAACUGGGCGGGGUCAGCGGAUACGGCCGAGCUGGAGCAAGCUAGGGGGCAAUGGAAUUCCCGGUGUAGUGGUGGAAUGCGUAGAUAUCGGGAGGAACACCAGUGGCGAAGGCGGUUGCCUGGAGCUUUGCUGACGCUGAGGCGCGAAAGCGUGGGGAGCGAUCCGGAUUAGAUACCCGUGUAGUCC